AGUUAGCUAACUUGGUGAUUGGUUUAUGGUCUAAGGCCUCAGACUUUCUGUCUUCUUCUUGAUGACAGUGCAUUCGCUAACAACAUUAGGUUAACGUUAUGUGACCAGACGGGACAGUAUGGCGCUAACAUUACAGCAGCGGGUUCUUCAACUAACACGUUACCCAAAAUUGUCACUUAUCGCGAAAUGCUGCGGGUGAACACCAGGCGGCGCUCUCCGACGUGAAAUCACUCUCGGGCCGUAAACUCGGUAGUCUGGGGAAUCACUGCCCUCAUCUUGGCCUCGCAGGAAUCUCACCUUCAGCAAUGGGACGCUUUCACUGAGGAAACCUCAUCCAGUGAGGGAAGAAGUUUUGGGAUCAUUUACUUAAGUUAAAGUAGCCUAAUAAUAAGAACAUUUGAAAAUACUCCUUUAUAAUAUUACUAUUAUUAAGUAUACGGAGCCAAGUAAACUGCAAAAUGUAGCCUACUGGGCCUAUACAGGCUAAUGAUAUUUUAUCAGUGGAAAGCAGUAUAUUUACUCAAGUACUGUAGGCCUAGUUAAGUACAAUUUUGAGUAGCCUACUUGCAUUUUGUUAAUUAAGAGGAGGUAGUGUACAGCAGAUAAACAUACUAUUGAACCAGUAUAUAAAUAAAAACAUUUCAAAGUAAAAAGCAUAAGGGCCAGCGAGAAGAAUAAACACCAUAUGUUUCACAAAUAUAAUAAUAAAAAGAAAACUGGACUCAAA